GUCACUUUCUCUCGAUGCAGGAGACCAGUUUUCUUCUCGGCUGUGAAAACACACUCACCUUUUCCACCUGUCGUGUUCUCGUUCUGACGUCCAGAGGCUAAGUGCUGAAUCAUUGCAGUGUGGCUCCGAUUCAAUCAACUGGUGGAAAUGGGUCCAGGGUCAGUGGUGUCUUCGUCCUGCCUUACGUGGGAGAUCUCGGAGCCUCCAAUCAUCCUGAUAACGACACGUGCGUGAAGUGCAUCCAGCCGCAGCUGGUUCUAGGACGACUUGGGGAACUAGACGUGCAGCUGGAUGAUCUGGGGAAUUUAAGAUGUGAAAGGUCCCAAGGUCAGCGAAGUCCCUGAUUGGUUCCACGUCAAUCUUACUGGGAGUGCGAGUGGCCAGAUGUCAUGGAUCAUAUUUGUUCCAACGAAAUAGCUGGGAAGAGGGAAGAUGUCCUGAACAGAGAAUAUGGAGAGCAGGGCAGGAAGUUGAAAUCCCUGGAUCGCUGUGUUUUCCACUCGCCACUGAAGGCAAGAAUAGGAUGUCUUGACAGGUGAAUGUGUGGCUGAGGAAUUCGUUGAGUGGACAAGGUUUCAGAAUUCUGGAUCUUUGGGAGACUCGCUAGGAAAUGUGUCACUUGUGAAAAGAGGGAGUGGGUACGCUUGGAUUUCAGAGGGCCAACAUUCUUACAGGCAGGGUUUUCAGAGCAGCUGG